GAUCACGUUGGGAUACCCGCUCAACUUAAGCAUAUCAAUAAGCGGAGGAAAAGAAACCAACAGGGAUUGCCUCAGUAACGGCGAGUGAAGCGGCAAGAGCUCAAAUUUGAAAGCUGGCCCCCCCGGGGCCCGCGUUGUAAUUUGCAGAGGAUGCUUCGGGAGCGGCCCCCAUCUAAGUGCCCUGGAACGGGCCGUCAUAGAGGGUGAGAAUCCCGUCUGGGAUGGGGUGCCCGCGCCCGUGUGAAGCUCCUUCGACGAGUCGAGUUGUUUGGGAAUGCACCUCUAAAUGGGUGGUAAAUUUCAUCUAAAGCUAAAUAUUGGCCGGAGACCGAUAGCGCACAAGUAGAGUGAUCGAAAGAUGAAAAGCACUUUGAAAAGAGAGUUAAACAGCACGUGAAAUUGUUGAAAGGGAAGCGCUUGCGACCAGACUCGCCCGCGGGGUUCAGCCGGCACUCGUGCCGGUGUACUUCCCCGCGGGCGGGCCAGCGUCGGUUUGGGCGGCCGGUCAAAGGCCCUCGGAAUGUAACGCCCCCCGGGGCGUCUUAUAGCCGAGGGUGCCAUGCGGCCAGCCCGGACCGAGGAACGCGCUUCGGCUCGGACGCUGGCAUAAUGGUCGUAAGCGACC
rnacentral:rRNA from 1 species